rnacentral:rRNA from 1 species
GGAUGAACGCUAGCGGCAGGCUUAAUACAUGCAAGUCGAACGGUAACAGGCGGUAGCAAUACUGUGCUGACGAGUGGCGCACGGGUGCGUAACACGUAUGCAACUUACCCUUUACCGGGGCAUAACCUGUUGAAAGACGGGCUAAUUCCCCAUAGUAUUAUAGAGAGGCAUCUUUUUAUAAUUAAAGAUUUAUCAGUAAAGGAUGGGCAUGCGCCCCAUUAGUUAGUUGGUAAGGUAACGGCUUACCAAGGCAGUGAUGGGUAGGGGUUCUGAGAGGAUUGGCCCCCACACUGGUACUGAGACACGGACCAGACUCCUACGGGAGGCAGCAGUAAGGAAUAUUGGGCAAUGGGCGGGAGCCUGACCCAGCCAUGCCGCGUGCAGGAAGACGGCCUUAUGGGUUGUAAACUGCUUUUUUAUGGGAAUAACCUCUCCGACGAGUCGGGGACUGCAAGUACCAUAGGAAUAAGCAUCGGCUAACUCCGUGCCAGCAGCCGCGGUAAUACGGAGGAUGCAAGCGUUAUUCGGAAUUAUUGGGUUUAAAGGGUGCGUAGGCGGGAUUGUAAGUCAGUGGUGAAAUACCCGGGCUUAACCUGGGGGCUGCCAUUGAAACUGCGGUUCUUGAGUUUAGUUGAUGUUGGCGGAAUGUGUCAUGUAGCGGUGAAAUGCAUAGAUAUGACACAGAACACCGAUAGCGAAGGCAGCUGACAAAACUAUUACUGACGCUGAUGCACGAAAGCGUGGGGAUCAAACAGGAUUAGAUACCCUGGUAGUCCACGCCGUAAACGAUGAUCACUAGUUGUUGCAAUGCUCGUCAUUGCAGCAAUACAGUUAACACAUUAAGUGUGCCGCCUGGGGAGUACGGUCGCAAGAUUAAAACUCAAAGGAAUAGACGGGGACCCGCACAAGCGGUGGAGCAUGUGGUUUAAUUCGAAGAUACGCGAAGAACCUUACCUAGACUUGAAAUCCUUAGAAUCCUGCAGAGAUGCGGGAGUGCUUGUUUACAAGAGCUAAGUGACAGGUGCUGCACGGCUGUCGUCAGCUCGUGUCGUGAGAUGUUGGGUUAAGUCCCGCAACGAGCGCAACCCUCGUGUUUAGUUGCUAACAGUUCGGCUGAGCACUCUAAACAGACUGCCCUCGUAAGGAGGAGGAAGGUGAGGACGACGUCAAGUCAUCAUGGCCCUUAUGUCUAGGGCUACACACGUGCUACAAUGGUUGGGACAAAGAGCAGCAAUACCGCGAGGUGGAGCAAAUCUUAAAACCCAAUCUUAGUUCGGAUUGGAGUCUGCAACUCGACUCCAUGAAGCUGGAAUCGCUAGUAAUCGUAGAUCAGCAAUGCUACGGUGAAUACGUUCCCGGUCUGACUCACCG